UACAGAGGGUGCAAGCGUUGUUCGGAAUUAUUGGGCGUAAAGGGCGCGUAGGCGGUUCGGCAAGUCUCUAGUGAAAUCUCAGGGCUCAACUCUGAGUCUGCUGGGGAAACUGCCGGGCUUGAGUGUGGGAGAGGUGAGUGGAAUUCCCAGUGUAGCGGUGAAAUGCGUAGAUAUCAGGAGGAACACCCGUGGCGAAGGCGGCUCUCUGGGUCCGCCCUGGACGCCUGGAGGCGCGAAAGCGUGGGGAGCGAACGGG
rnacentral:rRNA from 1 species